AAAACAAGUAAUAAUUUUUGAAAAUUAAUAAUUUUGAAUUUAAAGUGGUAACAUUUGGCAUUUUGAUGAUUAUUUGCAUGUAACAUCUGUGUUCAAUCAGACAUAACGGGGGUUUUUUGACAGUUGUGACAUCCAUGUGGAGUGACGUGUUUUCGGCCGUUAACAAAAAAUUAAAAUUAAAAAACUAAUUGGAGGAUGUAAUUUAAUAAUCACAAAGAUGUAUUGAUGCUACUAUAUACACGAGAAUACAAGAAAUUGGAGAACAAAAUGUAAAUGUAAAGAGCAAUAACUACAAAAUAGAAAUUGUAAUGUAAAUU